CCCUUAUGUCCAGGGCGACACACGUGCUACAAUGGCCGGCACAGCGGGAAGCGAGGGGGCGACCUUGAGCGGAUCCCUCAAAGCCGGUCUCAGUUCGGAUUGCAGUCUGCAACUCGACUGCAUGAAGUUGGAAUCGCUAGUAAUCGUGGAUCAGCCAAGCCGCGGUGAAUACGUUCCCGGGCCUU
rnacentral:rRNA from 1 species